GUGGGGAAUUUUGGACAAUGGGCGCAAGCCUGAUCCAGCAAUGCCGCGUGCAGGAAGAAGGCCUUCGGGUUGUAAACUGCUUUUGUACGGAACGAAACGGUCCGGGUUAAUACCCUGGGCUAAUGACGGUACCGUAAGAAUAAGCACCGGCUAACUACGUGCCAGCAGCCGCGGUAAUACGUAGGGUGCAAGCGUUAAUCGGAAUUACUGGGCGUAACGCGUGCGCAGGCGGUUUUGUAAGACAGGCGUGAAAUCCCCGGGCGCAACCUGGGAAUUGCGCUUGUGACUGCAAGGCUGGAGUGCGGCAGAGGGGGAUGGAAUUCCGCGUGUAGCAGUGAAAUGCGUAGAUAUGCGGAGGAACACCGAUGGCGAAGGCAAUCCCCUGGGCCUGCACUGACGCUCAUGCACGAAAGCGUGGGGAGCAAACAGGAUUAGAAACCCCAGUAGUCC
rnacentral:rRNA from 1 species